UACGUAGGGGGCAAGCGUUGUCCGGAAUCAUUGGGCGUAAAGAGCGCGUAGGCGGCCCAGUAAGUCCGCUCUGAAAGUCAGGGGCUCAACCCCUGGAUGCGGGUGGAUACUGCUGGGCUAGAGUCCGGAAGAGGUGAGUGGAAUUCCUGGUGUAGCGGUGGAAUGCGCAGAUAUCAGGAGGAACACCGGUGGCGAAGGCGGGAUCCUGGGCCAGUACUGACGCUGAGGAGCGAAAGCGUGGGGAGCAAACAGG
rnacentral:rRNA from 1 species